rnacentral:lncRNA from 1 species
AAGAAUAUAGCUACCACUAAAUACCAAACAAUAAAAAAUCAACUUCUUCUUCUUUUUUCUCUUCUUCUCCUUCUUAUUUUUUUUCUUAUUCUCUUCUUCUUUACUUCUUCUCCUUCUUAUUUUUUCUUCUCUUCUUCUUCUUCUUCUUCUUCUUCUUUUUCUUCUUAUUCUUCUUCUUCUUCUACUUCUUCUUCUCCUUCUUAUUUUUUUCUUCUCUUCUUAUUCUUCUUCUUCUUCUUCUCCUCUUCCUCCUCCUCCUACUCCUCUUCUUCU